rnacentral:rRNA from 1 species
GACGAACGCUGGCGGCGUGCUUAACACAUGCAAGUCGAACGGGCCCGCUCUCUUUUUUGGGGGGGGGUUGAGUGGCGAACGGGUGAGUAUCACGUGAGUAACCGGCCCCCGGCUCCGGGAUAACUGCUUGAAAGGGCGGCUAAUACGGGGUGUGCCGGCUGGUCCGCAUGGGCCUGGGCGGGAUAGUUUCAUCUUCGGGUGUUUCGGUGGGGGAUGGGCUCGCGGCCUAUCAGCUUGUUGGUGGGGUGAUGGCCCACCAAGGCGGUGACGGGUAGCCGGCCUGAGAGGGUGGGCGGCCACACUGGGACUGAGACACGGCCCAGACUCCUGCGGGAGGCAGCAGUGGGGGGUAUUGCACAAUGGGCGGAAGCCUGAUGCAGCGACGUCGCGUGAGGGAUGGAGGCCUUCGGGUUGUGAACCUCUUUCUCCGGUGGUGAAGGCCCUGUCCGUUGCGGCGGGGUUGACGGUAGCCGGGUAUGAAGCGCCGGCUAACUACGUG